UCCUAGACUCCUACGGGAGGCAGCAGUGAGGAAUAUUGGUCAAUGGGCGAGAGCCUGAACCAGCCAAGUCGCGUGAAGGAUGAAGGAUCUAUGGUUUGUAAACUUCUUUUAUAUGGGAAUAAAGUGAGGAACGUGUUCCUUUUUGUAUGUACCAUAUGAAUAAGCAUCGGCUAACUCCGUGCCAGCAGCCGCGGUAAUACGGAGGAUGCGAGCGUUAUCCGGAUUUAUUGGGUUUAAAGGGUGCGUAGGCGGACGCUUAAGUCAGCGGUAAAUGUGCGGGGCUCAACCUCGUCGAGCCGUUGAAACUGGGUGCCUUGAGUGGGCGAGAAGUACGCGGAAUGCGUGGUGUAGCGGUGAAAUGCAUAGAUAUCACGCAGAACUCCGAUUGCGAAGGCAGCGUACCGGCGCCCAACUGACGCUGAAGCACGAAGGCGUGGGUAUCGAACAGGAUUAGAUACCCUAGUA
rnacentral:rRNA from 1 species